UUGAUCCUGGCUCAGAAUCAACGCUGGCGGCGUGCCUAACACAUGCAAGUCGAACGCGAAAGUCCCGCAAGGGAUUAGUAGAGUGGCAAACGGGUGAGUUACACGUGGGUGACCUGCCUUCGAGUGGGGGAUAACGUCCCGAAAGGGACUCUAAUACCGCAUGACAUCCUGCCUUUGAAGAGGUGGAGAUCAAAGCUGGUGAUCGUAAGACCUAGCGCUCAAAGAGGGGCCCGCGCCUGAUUAGCUAGUUGGUGGGGUAAUGGCUCACCAAGGCAACGAUCAGUAUCCGGCCUGAGAGGUCGGACGGACACACUGGGACUGAGACACGGCCCAGACUCCUACGGGAGGCUGCAGUGGGGAAUUGUUCGCAAUGGGCGCAAGCCUGACGACGCAACGCCGUGUGGAGGAUGAAGACCUUCGGGUCGUAAACUCCUUUCGAUCGAGACGAAUGGUUUCCGGGUGAACAAUCCGGAAGAGUGACGGUACCGAGAGAAGAAGCUCCGGCUAACUACGUGCCAGCAGCCGCGGUAAUAAGGU
rnacentral:rRNA from 1 species